rnacentral:SRP_RNA from 1 species
CCCGACCCCCCGUGCGGCGCUCAUCCAACGAACCUCCCCAGGGCCGGAAGGCAGCAAGGAUAAGUCGGCUCUGGCGGGUGCGCGGGGGGUCCCUCGG